rnacentral:rRNA from 1 species
GUAGUCAUAUGCUUGUCUCAAAGAUUAAGCCAUGCAUGUCUCAGUACAAGCCAAAUUAAGGUGAAACCGCGAAAGGCUCAUUAAAUCAGUUAUGGUUCCUUAGAUCGUACCCACAUUUACUUGGAUAACUGUGGUAAUUCUAGAGCUAAUACAUGCAAACAGAGCUCCGACCGGAGACGGAAGGAGCGCUUUUAUUAGAUCAAAACCAAUCGGUGGCGGGUCUCCCGUCACCGUACACCUUGGUGACUCUGAAUAACUUAUUGCUGAUCGCACGGUCUCGCACCGGCGACGCAUCUUUCAAAUGUCUGCCUUAUCAACUGUCGAUGGUAGGUUCUGCGCCUACCAUGGUUGUAACGGGUAACGGGGAAUCAGGGUUCGAUUCCGGAGAGGGAGCCUGAGAAACGGCUACCACAUCCAAGGAAGGCAGCAGGCGCGCAAAUUACCCACUCCCGGCACGGGGAGGUAGUGACGAAAAAUAACGAUACGGGACUCAUCCGAGGCCCCGUAAUCGGAAUGAGUACACUCUAAACCCUUUAACGAGGAUCAAUUGGAGGGCAAGUCUGGUGCCAGCAGCCGCGGUAAUUCCAGCUCCAAUAGCGUAUAUUAAAGUUGUUGCGGUUAAAAAGCUCGUAGUCGAAUUUGUGUCCCGCGCCGCCGGUUCAUCGCUCGCGGUGUCAACUGGCGUGUCCGCGGGACGUCCUGCCGGUGGGCUUAGCCCCCCGUGGGCGGCCCAAUCUCAAUCCCACCGCGGUGCUCUUCAUUGAGUGUCGAGGUGGGCCGGCACGUUUACUUUGAACAAAUUAGAGUGCUUAAAGCAGGCUAAAACAUCGCCUGAAUACUGUGUGCAUGGAAUAAUGGAAUAGGACCUCGGUUCUAUUUUGUUGGUUUUCGGAACCCCGAGGUAAUGAUUAAUAGGAACGGAUGGGGGCAUUCGUAUUGCGACGUUAGAG